GUGGGUGUAGCUCAGUAGGUAGAGCACCUGGUUGUGGCCCAGGCGGCCGCGCGUUCAAGUCGCGUCAUCCACCCCA
rnacentral:tRNA from 4 species